GUCUAUGGCCAUGCCACCCUGAACAAGCCUGAUCCCAUCUGAUCUCGGAAGCUAAGCAGGAUCGUGUCUGGCUAGUACUUGGAUGGGAGACCACCUAGGAAGACUAGGUGCUGUAGGCA
rnacentral:rRNA from 1 species